UACUCUCAUCACACACACACAAAAAAUCUUGCAAAAAUGGCAUCAAUGGCGAUCUUAACACGCAAAUUCAAACCACUAUCCAAAACCCUAAACCCCAGAUUCAUAACCACCUACUCUUUCCUUUCACAACAACCCCAGCUCGCCGAUCACCCACCACCACCGCCACCGUCGCCGUUACCACCAAGUCCGGCCACCGGAAGUCCACUUUACAACGAAAACUGGCGAAACCCACAUCCAAACAUACUCAAUUCACAAUCUUUAAUCCCAUUAGGGUUUUCCCAGAUAAGCCCAUCAUCAAAGUUUGAAGCUUUAUCGAAAACCCUUGAUCGUGACUCAAUGUCGAAUGUGUUUGCUGACUGGAUGACGUCACACAAAUGGGGUGAUAUAAAAAUGUUGUUUGAGAAAUGGAUUAGGUGUUUGGAUUAUAAUGGGAAGCCUAAUAAACCUGAUGUUGGUUUGUUUAAUCAUUAUUUAAGGGCUAAUCUAAUGAUGGGGGUUUCAGCUGGUGAUUUGUUGGGUUUGGUUUCACAAAUGGAUGAUUAUAAUAUUGUACCGAAUACGGCGUCGUUUAACUUGGUGCUUAAGGCUAUGUACCAAGCCAAAGAGUCUGAAGCUUCUGUUAAGUUGAUAGAUCGGAUGAUCCAGACUGGAAAGGAAUCAAAGGGUGCCUUGCCUGAUGACGAGUCUUAUCACUUGGUUGUGCGGAUGUUGCUAGAGCAAAAUCAGGUUGAUGCAGCAUUGAAGUACAUUGACUUGACCUUGAACUCAGGCUAUAUGUUGUCGGCAGAAGUAUUCUCUGAGUGUGUGAGGUGCUGUGGUAGGCAGGGAAGACUGGAUACACUAUUAUCCAUAAUAGAGAGAUGCAAGAAAAUGGAUCAAAACAAAGCCUUAUGUCCACCCUGGAACUUAUGCAAUGACAUCGUUGAUGUUGCAAUUCAAUCAGAUAAUAGUGAAUUAGCAUUUUAUGGUCUUGAGUUCAUUGCAAAAUGGAUUGCUCGCGGAGAAAUUGCCAGACCACCCGUGUUGCUUUCUGUAGAUGAAGGGCUAGUAGUUAAUGCACUAACAACUGCUGGUAGAAACUACAACUCUAAACUUUUGGAUGGCGCGUGGGCAGUCCUUAAACGAUCUUUACGCCAAAAGAAAGUCCCGAGUCCAGAAUCUUAUAUUGCAAAAAUAUUUGCCUAUUCCUCAUUUGGGAAUUUACAGAAGGCUUUCAGUACUUUGCAUGAAUUUGAGACUGCAUAUAAAGGUUCGGCUAAAGAAGUUGAAGAGGAUAUGUUCUCUCCAUUCACCACAUUAUAUCCGUUGGUUAUGGCCUGCUCGAAGAACGGAUUCACAACCUUAGAUUCAGUUUAUUACCAACUGGAGAAUUUGAGUCGUGCCGAUCCUCCAUACAAGUCUGUUGCUGCGGUUAACUGUGUUAUUUUAGGUUGUGCAAAUAUUUGGGAUGUUGAUCGAGCCUAUCAAACAUUCAGCGCCAUGGAGUCAAGCUUUGGGUUGACUCCUGAUGUCCAUUCAUAUAACGCUCUCUUGUGUGCGUUUGGGAAGCUCCAUAAGAGAGAUGAAGCAGUCAAAGUGUUUGAGCAUAUGGUAAGCUUGGAUGUAAAGCCUAAUACAAAUACUUAUGCUCUUUUAGUCGAUGCUCAUCUCACCAAACGAGAUACAAAAGGCGCAUUGUCUUCAAUCAACGACAUGGUGGUUUCAGGAUUUCGACCAACAAAGGAGAUACUGAAAAAGGUUCGCAGACGUUGUGUACGGGAGAUGGAUUAUGAAACUAAUGACAAAGUGGGAUUGUUGGCAAAAGAAUUCAAUAUCCGAUUGGGUUCAGAGAAUCGCCGAGAGAUUUUAUUCAACCUAGAGUUCAGUACCGAGUAUGCAUAAGAGGUGUUUUUGCACGAGAGAGGCCCCAUUACAUCUAUACGCUGAAAUGUAAGGUUUGUGAAAAAUGUGGUGCAGAUAUGGUAUGAUGGGGUUUGGCGUCUGUUGCAUUUUGGCACCAUGACACUUGCGAAGUAUAUUUUUUGCAGUUUGCAGAGUUCCCUAAUCUGCACUUCUAUAGGCCGGCUGGUGAGACCUUCAAACCAGUGUAAAUUACUUGGUUUUUUGCUCAACUUUUUUGGUAGUAUUGACUCUAAUCAAGAUUGUAGAUUUUUCUGCCCCUAGUUUCUUGUAUAUCCUCGUGCUUAUCAAGUGGCACCAUGAGGUUGAUUGGAGUUAUGCAAAAUAAUCGUAGGGUGAUAGAAAUCUGAUUUAAUAGGAUGGUGCAAGAUGUUUCUGAUGUCUGUCAUUGCUAUGAAUCAUUGAUGCUUGUGGUUCACAGUAAUCUCUUUUCAGUAAUUCAGUUUGAAGGGUAUUUUAGUUA